UGGGGAAUCUUCCGCAAUGGACGAAAGUCUGACGGAGCAACGCCGCGUGAGUGAAGACGGCCUUCGGGUUGUAAAGCUCUGUGAUCCGGGACGAAAGAGCCUUGGGUAAAUAGCCUAAGGAAGUGACGGUACCGGAAAAGCAAGCCACGGCUAACUACGUGCCAGCAGCCGCGGUAAUACGUAGGUGGCAAGCGUUGUCCGGAAUUAUUGGGCGUAAAGCGCGCGCAGGCGGCUUCCUAAGUCCAUCUUAAAAGUGCGGGGCUUAACCCCGUGGUGGGAUGGAAACUGGGAAGCUGGAGUAUCGGAGAGGAAAGUGGAAUUCCUAGUGUAGCGGUGAAAUGCGUAGAGAUUAGGAAGAACACCGGUGGCGAAGGCGACUUUCUGGACGAAAACUGACGCUGAGGCGCGAAAGCGUGGGGAGCAAACAGG
rnacentral:rRNA from 1 species